rnacentral:rRNA from 1 species
GACGAACGCUGGCGGCGUGCUUAACACAUGCAAGUCGAACGGAAAGGCCCUGCUUUUGUGGGGUGCUCGAGUGGCGAACGGGUGAGUAACACGUGAGUAACCUGCCCUUGACUUUGGGAUAACUUCAGGAAACUGGGGCUAAUACCGGAUAGGAGCUCCUGCUGCAUGGUGGGGGUUGGAAAGUUUCGGCGGUUGGGGAUGGACUCGCGGCUUAUCAGCUUGUUGGUGGGGUAGUGGCUUACCAAGGCUUUGACGGGUAGCCGGCCUGAGAGGGUGACCGGCCACAUUGGGACUAGAAUACGGCCCAGCCUCCUACGGGAGGCAACAGUGGGGAAUAUUGCACAAUGGACGGAAGCCUGAUGCAGCAACGCCGCGUGCGGGAUGACGGCCUUCGGGUUGUAAACCGCUUUCGCCUGUGACGAAGCGUGAGUGACGGUAAUGGGUAAAGAAGCACCGGCUAACUACGUG